rnacentral:lncRNA from 1 species
AGUUUUUUCUAAAAUAAACUGUCUCUGUUAUCAUUUCAUUUUUGCAGGUUUCACUCACAACCACGGUGCACAGACCAACGCGGUGCUGAAAAUUGGUCGACGAGAGCUGAAUGCGGCUCAGCUUGUAGAAAAUUCAAAGAUAGAACCGAAAUGACCCAGAGACCACACCGCGACACUGAUAUGGGAAAUAAGGAAACCGGAGAGAACAGUUCUCGAAUGGCGGACAACCACUACCAAGAAGGGAUAAGGCCCUUAAGAUCGGGCUUUUCUCCUGGGACCCAAAGCCCACGGGUGGAUGAGUCACAGGUAAGAGGUGAAAACCAUGAACCAGAAGCAGACAUUGAUCGUGCGUAUUCGGAUCAACGUCGACGAUCUUGGACCACUUCUGAUGACGUCAGCCGGAACCAAGGAAGGCACCAAGUAAGAGAGAAUAUAGGGACCUAUAGUUCGGGACCAUCGAUACCGCCAGAAGGCUACGAAACAGAACCUGACUCUCAACAAAGAUGCUUUGAGCCCCUACUGACCUCCACCAGAAUCGGUCACCGUCAUGGAGAAAGCCAAAAUCCAAACACGAAUGGGUUCCCUUUGCAAAACGAAGGCUUUGCUCCGGGAUUGUAUGUUGAUCGCAGUUACUCAGAGCUCCCCACGGGACCUAGGAGGACCUCCAAUAGUGCAAUAGAGGCGUUACAAAAUCAGUGCACUAGCAGUUUAGACCAACCCGGCAAAAAGGGCGAUUCCGUCCGCGCGCGCGACGAAGAAAGGCUAAAACGGACCCUUGCGAGACAUUUCAAUUCCAGAAAGAACCUGGCCCAAAUCUCUCUUGCGGUGGUUCCAGUAGUGGCCUAGGAAUGAGGCCCUCGAGAUCGUUCUGUACAGGAACAGGACCCACCUCGACGCCGUAUCCAUCAGGAUUGACGCCCUGUCAACCGGUUCCCACAGGAAUGGGGCCCCCAACGCCAAAUUGCACAGGAAUGCUCCCGCAAGAAUUUGGGACGUCUUGCGCAGAUAUCGAGUUCCCAGAUAAAGGGUUCUCAGUGGUGGGGCCCUCAGAAUCGUUUUACCUGGGAUUGCGGACCCCACAGCCGGUUUAUAGCGACGGUCAAAAAUGCUGUGCUGAUAAUCUGCCUGGAGUAACACAUACUGGACCCGCUGGAGGACACAUGUCCAACGGAGAUCAACCGCAAGAGACGCGGUCGAAGAUGGAGAUCUGCGCGGACCUGACGAAUGAGGCCAUCGAGACUUUGAGCAAGCUGAAGAUAGCUUCUUCCAAAGUGGCGAGUGAGGACAUCCAAGAGGGCCCAGAUUGCUCGGAGGUCCACUCCGUUGGCUCUGUCGGUUCCAUUGGUUCCGCUGAUGCCGAUUGCUGCACCGAGAGAGACUGGAUGGCUAAGCAGGCCCGCACUUACCGCCAACUCGACGAGAUCGCCGCCAAAAUCGCGGCCAUGGAGAAAAAACACGAACACUUACUCGACGACUCAGGAGAGAAGUCCCUGGUUCGGCGGCAGCGGAGCGUCCACUUUGCGUCCGACUGCGACGUAGACAAGAAUUUGAAGCAGAUAUCGGUCAAAUUGGACACAAUGGAAAACAACCAGGUGACAUUGUCGUCCUCGUGGUUGCAACAGCUCAAAGGCUUCAAGGCAUACACCGAGGCCGUCCAAAUGCGACUCUGCAAUCUCGAGCAACGAACCCGGAUGCUGGAGGAAAAGGCGCAAGAUGCAAACCAUCAGACCAUCCACCGCGCCAUCCAGGGCAGAGCGGGUGGGUCCAGGACUGCCUCUGUCGGGGACCUCGCGUCCCUCCAGGACCCCGCCCGCUUCUCCAGCCAUUCCCUCUGUUCCUCCGUCCAGGGUCAGAUAGAGGACUCUGUCCAAGGUCAGAACGGGGACUCCGCCCAAGGUCAGAUCGAAAACUCAGCCCAAGGUCAGAUUGACGACUCCAUUCAAGGUCAGAUCGAGGACUCCAUUCAAGGUCAGAGUGUGGACUUUGUCAAUGACUGCAUUAAGUGCGAAGAAGGGAGCAUCGCUCUCAGCCUGGAGGUCCUCAUCGAGGAGUUCAAAUGUCUGGAAGAGGUGCGGCAAAACCUGCUCCGACAAGCCCGAGACAGAAGGGACUUUCAAUCUGAUGCGGCGAUGCAAGAGUAUUUGGACACGCUGUCCCAGUUCGAUGCCGGAUUGGUGGAAAUGCGCAAGCUCUUCAAGGAUGUCACGUGGCUCGUCAGGGCUGAUAUUGGCCAGGUCGCGCAGGAGAGAGAGAAGGUACUAAUUCAUCAUACCAGAGACAAAGAGAAACCCUCCAUAGACUGAUUUAGUGGUUGCGUCAUUCGAUAUAAUCUCGAACCCUUUGGUUCAAAUAUAAACAAGCAGGAAAGUCCAACACGAGGUGUUGGAUAAGCGCGGCAUGAUUCAUAAUCAAUUCUUUAUCUGAACUGCCACUAACACGAAAUUAUUCGAUUAAGGGGUUUUAAAUGAUUAAUGACACCUUGACUUCAAUUAAAAUUAGGUAUAUGAUGUAAACACUCGAUUUACGCCACCUUCAAUUGAGCAUUAUGUAAAAAUGAGUUUUAUACAAGGAAGUAAAUGAUACAACUUAAAUUUGACUACAGUAUUGAUAGGGGAUUGAAUAAUGGUCUAACACAUUCAACAUAAUCAAUAAAAAUUUUUCGACCCCGCCGGGAUACGAACACCCACUAUCACAGUUGGCCCAGGCGGAUGUUAAUGGUAGGUGAUCUAGACAACUGAGCCAGCCAGUCACUUGGGGCCCGGGGCAGAAUGUACAGUAUUUAACAGAGUCUGGUUGUCAGGGAAAGCCCCGCCCAUCGCAGAACUGUCAUUUUGGAUGGACGCG